rnacentral:rRNA from 4 species
CAAGGUUAACCGAAUAGGGGAGCCGGAGGGAAACCGAGUCUUAAUUGGGCGUUAAGUUGCAGGGUAUAGACCCGAAACCCGGUGAUCUAGCCAUGGGCAGGUUGAAGGUUGGGUAACACUAACUGGAGGACCGAACCGACUAAUGUUGAAAAAUUAGCGGAUGACCUGUGGCUGGGGGUGAAAGGCCAAUCAAACCGGGAGAUAGCUGGUUCUCCCCGAAAGCUAUUUAGGUAGCGCCUCGUGAAUUCAUCUCCGGGGGUAGAGCACUGUUUCGGCUAGGGGGCCAUCCCGGCUUACCAACCCGAUGCAAACUGCGAAUACCGGAGAAUGUUAUCACGGGAGACACACGGCGGGUGCUAACGUCCGUCGUGAAGAGGGAAACAACCCAGACCGCCAGCUAAGGUCCCAAAGUCAUGGUUAAGUGGGAAACGAUGUGGGAAGGCCCAGACAGCCAGGAUGUUGGCUUAGAAGCAGCCAUCAUUUAAAGAAAGCGUAAUAGCUCACUGGUCGAGUCGGCCUGCGCGGAAGAUGUAACGGGGCUAAACCAUG